GACGAACGCUGGCGGCGUGCCUAAUACAUGCAAGUUGAGCGCUGAAGGUUGGUACUUGUACCAACUGGAUGAGCAGCGAACGGGUGAGUAACGCGUGGGGAAUCUGCCUUUGAGCGGGGGACAACAUUUGGAAACGAAUGCUAAUACCGCAUAAAAACUUUAAACACAAGUUUUAAGUUUGAAAGAUGCAAUUGCAUCACUCAAAGAUGAUCCCGCGUUGUAUUAGCUAGUUGGUGAGGUAAAGGCUCACCAAGGCGAUGAUACAUAGCCGACCUGAGAGGGUGAGAGGCCAAAUUGGGACUGAGACACGGCCCAAACUCCUACGGGAGGCAGCAGUAGGGAAUCUUCGGCAAUGGACGAAAGUCUGACCGAGCAACGCCGCGUGAGUGAAGAAGGUUUUCGGAUCGUAAAACUCUGUUGGUAGAGAAGAACGUUGGUGAGAGUGGAAAGCUCAUCAAGUGACGGUAACUACCCAGAAAGGGACGGCUAACUACGUG
rnacentral:rRNA from 1 species